GAGUUCUGUGGGCAUCUUCAGGCAUUGAGAAGUCCUUAGCUGUCACUGUGAGUCAGACAGACGAGAGUUCCAUGGGCAUCUUCAGCCAUUCAGAAGUCCUUAGCUAUCACUGUGAGUCAAACAGAGAGCUGUGUGAGAGUUCUGUGUGAUGCGAUGAUGUGUGUGGACGUCACUUAAAAGUGUCUGUCUGGCUGCUGAGUUAAGAACAGACUGCUUUGGAGCAAGGGUGAAAUCAUGAGACCAAUGAGGAUGCUUUUGCCUAAUUUGGGCGAGAAAGAGUGGUUUGAACAGGUCCAUGAUGUCUAGCACACCCAGAGUAGCUCCCUGGGGAUUGUCUGCUGCUGAGACUCACAAAUAGAAGAAGGAUAUUCCGAAAAAGUCCAUGAAUAAGAUGUGCUCAUGCUUUGAAGCACACUUUCUGGUUGCAGGUUGCUGUCAGGGAAAAAUAUAUCCAGGCUUGAACAAUGGAUAUGCGCAUCCAUCCCUAGGGAGCAUGGACACGUGACCAUUACUUGGGUGAAACAGAACUGUCUAAACAGAAUUUCGGCAGGAGAGGUAAAAGUGCAACUUGAAAUAUUCUUGCUAUCCGGCCAGGUGCGGUGGCUCAAGCCUGUAAUCCCAGCACUUUGGGAGGCUGAGGAGGGUGGAUCACGAGGUCAAGAGAUCGAGAUCAUCCUGGCCAACAUGGUGAAACCCUGUCUCUACUAAUUUUUUGGUAUUUUGUAAAAAUACAAAAAAUUAUCUGGGCAUGGUGGCGCGUGCCUGUAAUCCCAGCUACUCAGGAGGCUGAGGCAGGAGAAUUGCCUGAACACAGGAGGUGGAGGUUGCGGUGAGCCAAGAUCGUGCCAUUGCACUCCAGCCUGGGUAACAAGAGCGAAACUCCGUCACACACACACACACACACACACACACACACAAAGAAAUAUUCUUGCGAUCUAAACACCAGUCUCUAAAGGUUGAAGAACAGAAUAGAAGUAGAACAUUUCUUAAACCCACCUGCUCCUCAGAUCAGCACAGUCAGCUAAGCGAUUCAUUGCUAAUGGCAUGUUAGAGUCAUUAAAUAUUUGACGUAU
rnacentral:lncRNA from 1 species